GAUGAACGCUGGCGGCGUGCCUAAUACAUGCAAGUCGAACGCUUAGCUUCGGUGCUUGGUGGCCAGCCGGUGGGUAAUACCUAGGUAAUCACGCAUCUACAGCGGACUUACUGGUGGGAGCUUCAGCUAAGACCGCGGAGGUGUAGCGAUAGCAUGUACUCUAUCUGAAAAGUGCUACGAGAAUGGUGGCUGUUGGGCUUAUGGCGCAUUAGCUUGUUGGUAGGGUAACGGCUUACCAAGGCGACGAUGCGUAGCCGACCUGAGAGGGUGAGCGGCCACACUGGAACUGAGACACGGUCCAGACUCCUACGGGAGGCAGCAGUAGGGAAUUUUCGGCAAAGGGGGAAAGCCUGACCGAGCAACGCCGCGUGAAGGAAGAAGGAAUUCGGUAUGUAAAAUUCUGUCAUAGGGGAAGAACGGUUGUGUUAGGGAAUGAGAACCAAGUGACGGUACUUGAUAAGAAAGCCACGGCUAACUACGUG
rnacentral:rRNA from 1 species